AGAGCGAACGCUGGCGGCAGGCCUAACACAUGCAAGUCGAGCGCCCCGCAAGGGGAGCGGCAGACGGGAGAGUAACACGUGGGAACGUACCCUUCAGUUCGGAACAACCCAGGGAAACUUGGGCUAAUACCGGAUACGUCCGUAAGGAGAAAGAUUUAUCGCUGAAGGAUCGGCCCGCGUCCGAUUAGCUAGUUGGUGAGGUAAUGGCUCACCAAGGCGACGAUCGGUAGCUGGUCUGAGAGGAUGAUCAGCCACAUUGGGACUGAGACACGGCCCAAACUCCUACGGGAGGCAGCAGUGGGGAAUAUUGGACAAUGGGCGAAAGCCUGAUCCAGCCAUGCCGCGUGAGUGAUGACGGCCUUAGGGUUGUAAAGCUCUUUCAUCAGGGACGAUAAUGACGGUACCUGAAGAAGAAGCCCCGGCUAACUUCGUGCCAGCAGCCGC
rnacentral:rRNA from 1 species